ensembl:snoRNA SNORD58 Small nucleolar RNA SNORD58
CUGUGAUGAUGGCAUUUCUUAUGACAAUUUUGGAUUCAUUAUGAAAACAAGUACUCUCUGAGCAAU